GGGCAAUUCAUUAUGAACUACCAUAUGAAUAAGAUUGAUAGUACUUUGUCUGAAUUACUGAACAAGUUGGUAAUAGCUGAGGGCAUCUUAAAAAGUUCAAGAGGAACGGUUAUGACUGUGGAGCGAACUUUCUCUAAGAGAAAGUCUUCCUUAAAGAAAAAAAGAAGCCUGCGAAGAAGUAAAAGAAUGAGGCCAAGCCCAAAAAGUAGGUUCUGAAGAAGACAUACGACAAGAAAAAGUGUUUCCAUUGCAAUGUCAAAGACCACUAAAGAAGGAACUAUCUGGCAUACCUGGCGACUAUGAAG
rnacentral:lncRNA from 1 species